AGACAGCACCUAAGAUUAGCAAGCUGCUGCCAAUAACUAGUGAUGUUUUAUACAUUUAUAAGCAUUCUGGUAAAACCAUGUGGCAGGAUCAGCACCUAAAAUCAGCAAGCUGCUGCCUAUAAAACCACAGUAGACGAACCUUGGCUUCUGACUUAAUAUAUAUGAAGAAACGCACAUGCAAUUAUCCUUGCAAAUUCUGAAUUGAAUCUGUCGAUGACAAUGCACCAUAUGUAAUUCCAACGAUUGUUGGUUUCAUUUCCCUUUGUGUUGUUCAACUUUUUUUCCUUUUGCUGUUCGAACUGCCCAUGUAAGUAGGGCCAUGCAUGCUUUUACACUUUACUGAAAUUGUAUUUAAAUAUUCGCCACUCUUAUUUUAGGUAUUUAAGAUGUUGCACACUUUACUGUAAUUGUAUUCAGAUAUUCUCCACUCUUAUUUUAGGUAUUUAAGAUGUUGCACACUUUACUGUAAUUGUAUUCAGAUAUUCUCCACUCUUAUUUUAGGUAUUUAAGAUGUUGCACACUUUACUGUAAUUGUAUUCAGAUAUUCUCCACUCUUAUUUUAGGUAUUUAAGAUGUUGCACACUUUACUGUAAUUGUAUUCAGAUAUUCUCCACUCUUAUUUUAGGUAUUUAAGAUGUUGCACACUUUACUGUAAUUGUAUUCAGAUAUUCUCCACUCUUAUUUUAGGUAUUUAAGAUGUUGCACACUUUACUGUAAUUGUAUUCAGAUAUUCUCCACUCUUAUUUUAGGUAUUUAAGAUGUUGCACACUUUACUGUAAUUGUAUUCAGAUAUUCUCCACUCUUAUUUUAGGUAUUUAAGAUGUUGCAAAAGAAUGGUAGGAUUCUCUUCAAAUGAAGAAAUAAUUACUUGAUUGAUUGCUUAUCCCAUCCAUUUGAAAUUCAAAAGUGGCCAGCAAUGUUUUAAAGAGCCAUGCUACAAUGAAAAGAACAGGAAGUAGUUUUUACUGGCAGAAAAAGCACCUAAUAUUAGAAAGCUGCUGCCAAUAAUCUGGCCUAGGAGGAAAGUUUCUGAAGGGAGAGAUAUUCUUAUUACGAAGCUUAGCAUGCUGCAGUCAAUGAUGAAAUAGAAUAGGGUAUUUAUAUACGGCAGAUACAGCACCUAAGAAUAAAGAAUAGCAAGCUGCUGCCUACAGAACCCUAAAAAAGAUGAAGAUUGAUUGAAUCUUUAUAGGCCAGGGCUUAGCCAUUUUAGAAACAGCAGCUAAGACCAGUAACGUGAUGCCUAUGUAUGAAUUCUUCUUCCGAGCGAGGAUGUUCAGCACUCCUUCCCUCCCACCACCAUCCUGGCAAAGGACCGGCACUGGAGUACCCAAAGAGAGGCGUCUCUAAUGGACCAGACAGAGUACAUCCUGUUUCAAGAGAUGUAUUCUGGAAGAGCGUCGAGUCAUGUAGGACCAUACAAGAGAAAAGAUGAGAAUUGCUGCUAGGUUACUUGUCUUCUUUGCUUCCCAAGCAUACUGAUUGAAAAGGAAAGGAACAUGAAAACUUGGGGAAACUAUGCUUUUGUGCGAGCAAUAAAGGACACGAACAUUCAGAAAUCUUUCCCCAUUCCAUUUUCUUUAGCCUGUCGUUCUUACGAAGGGAUCGGUUUUCUUGAGCUCAUCCUACCCACCCUAUGAUCUUAUAGUUUUCAACAAGCAUUGUGCUCCCAUUGGAAAGCUAGCUUUUGAUUGAAAUCAAAAUUGAGCGAAUGGCGGGGAAAGCAUAAAAAUCAAGCUGUGAAGACGUUCUGUUCAGGGAAGUUCUUUAGUUUUCUUGUUUUUGUUUUCUCAGAAUACAUCUUGUGUCAAGAGAUUUGCUGUGGAAGAAAAUCGAGUCCUGUAGGACCAUCGGAGAGAAAAGGUGAGAAAUUUGCAAUCUUGUUUGUUUUCUUUAUCUUUGAAAGUGACUGAAGUUAUUGGAAAGAUAUAAUGAGAGUCAGAAGACCAAGUAGUAGGCUAAAUGGCAGAGACAGCACCUAAGAUUAGCAAGCUGCUGCCAAUAACUAGUGGGCUUUUUUAAAACAUUUAUAAGC